rfam:Acanthocystis turfacea Chlorella virus 1, complete genome.
GGCGCUGUAGCUCAGUCGGUUAGAGCACUUGGCUGUUAACCAAGGGGUCAUCGGUUCGAUUCCGAUCAGUGCCG